AUGAAGUCAAUAGCUGAUGAGGAACCUAAGAAGUACCAAUCUCACUUCAGUGAGUACAUCUGGAAGAAUAUUGCGGCCGAUGACAUGGAAGCACUGUACAAUAAGGUUCAUGCUGCCAUUUGUGCUUAUCCUACCAUGGCAAGAUCAACCAAGGAACCUCCAAAGACGCACAAGAAUUGGAUAUAUCUUGCUGUUUAUUAA
rnacentral:rRNA from 1 species